GAAGAGUGACCACUACCUGAUCUUCCAACAGCCUUGAUAACUUUUGCAAAGACAACCUGAAUUCUAUAUACAUCACUUAGUGUGGACUGCGGACUGUGCUUGAUAAAUAUCUGUUGGAUGAGUGAAGGAAUUAAUGCAUCAGAAAAAAUGACAUUUUAAUGCAGUGGAAUGUGUUUAACCAUACUCAGCACCCCAGCAAAAAAUAAACAAACAACAACAACAACAAUAAAUAAAUCAACAAACAGAGAAUGCCAUGGAAGGAUGGAAUCUCCUCAGACCACUCAACUCUCCGGGCAAGUGGAUGCUGACUGUCAGAAAAGGAAGAAGGAGGUCAUCGGUAUUAAAUGCAUGACGGCAUGUGCGGCCUACUGCUGCUUCCCCAGUACCACCACCAGUGUUCUGGGUCUCUUUUGCAACUAUGGGUUGGGAGGGUCACUCUAUAUUUGCAUUUGCCCUGUCGGUAAUCACACUGACAUUCAGGUACAAACUGGUCAUUAGCAACUAGGUCAUUAUUUUGUUAUGCACUACUUUACAAUAAAGGAAGAAGGAAAAGGGAUCAUCCUUUAGCUCAGAUACUCAAGAGUUACAGAAUUCAGGUGAUAUAUUCACAAUAGCCAUUAGCUAUAGAAGUCACCAGAUCUUCAUGAUCUCUGGUAUAAAUUAAUAAAGUAGUACACAAGUAUUCCAUCUUUAUGUCUCAUCCAUAUUUUACUAUUUUAUUCCUUGGGAAUUAUCCUAGGAAAGAUAAAAUUUCACUCCUUGCUACUUUUUAACCAACCCAUGUAUGGAUUCCACAAGUACUUGAAUAAGGAAUGGCAAGAGAUUGAACACAAAUUAGGUACUAGAUGACUAUUAGCUAAAUGAAUGAAUGAAUGAAUUCAUGCAUGAAUAAUUAAGUAGUAUAUAUUUCAUCAAAACUACAUCUUCUAGCUCUAGAGUGUAUGACAUCUAAAACCACAGUUAGCAUAGAAUUUAGAGAAUUCAAGUUCUCUAUGACACAUGAAUACAUUCAUGUUCUUUGAAAGCCCCUACCUGGAUGGCACUACAUUAAAUUAAAAAAUCAGAAAACUAGAGUUGGUAAUGACCUCUAGAGAUACAGAUUAUGUCCCCCUGCCCUGUAGCAAGUGGUGGAUAACUGAGGGUUUGGAGUUAAGGAACCUGAAUUUGCAUUUCAGUCCCUUGUCUUACUGGGAUGUGCCACCUUGCACAAACUAAAGAAACAGAAACAUUGCACAAGCAACAGAAAGAGCAGUGCUGCCAUAUUGGACUCUAACAUUUUCAUAUUUAUCAAUUAUUGUACUUAGUUUGAUUUAUUAAAGUGUAAUAACAUAGGUGUGUUGAUUACUGGAUUUCUUGUCACCCCCUUAAAUUUUGCUCACUCACCUCACCCUAAUCCCACCCUCUCAGCAUUACUGUUUUCUUCAGGUGCAAAAUAUGAUGAUAAUUUCUUCCUCCUAGGAUCAGUUAGAAUUUAAUAAGCUAGUGCAGUGUCCAGGUGCUCAUAACGUCUGCUCACUAAGUGAUAGAUAUUGUGGUUAUUAGAUACUUUGUUAGCAUCACUUAAGAAAGGAAUAGUGGUGUUUGAGGACUCUCUUCAGAUAGACUAUUGGUACAAGAAAAAUAGUUUAAUAAAUAACUGGAAGAAAUGAUAUCAGGUUACCUCAAAGCUGUCUUUCUCCUCCUUUUUUAUGAUUAUUUUUUAAAACAAAAGACUGCUUUAUCAGAAUACAGCAAAGACAUGUCCAUCCAGUAUUGUCUGGAAGAGAAUCACGGUUCCUCCAAAUGAGAAUUACGGUUCCACAAGUGCCAAGGCAUGUGAUGCUCUAGGAGUUCGGGUCACAUUUAGGACAGUAUAGCGCUGGCACACAUUAGUUCAGGGCAAACAGCAGACAUUUGUGAUAUUUUUUUCUGUACAUGGAGUAUGGUCUGAGGUGUGAGAGGGACAGUGAUGCGUGUUGUGUCAGUGCCACAGGUGGGGGUCAUCAUGAGCCAAGGUUAUGAGCCAGUACUUAUGUAGAGAGGUACUACAAUCAAUGUUGGGCAAGAAAAUAUAACACAUACUAAUUAUUCCACCAGAGAUUAUGAAUAUGGGGAAUUGGGUAACAAGGUAGGAAGAUAAACUAGACAGAAGAAAAGACUGAAGCUUUUCCAGGGCUGGCAGAACAUGGAGAAGUUAGGAUUCCCAGAAACUGCAAGUUUUAGGACCUGUAGGAAAAAUUUAAAAAGGUUGGCAGAGCUGGGGCUAACCUUCCAAGGAGAGGUGCCACCUGGCUGCUUCUGUAUCUCAAGAGCUUGUUGGAAGGACCAGGCAGAGCUGGUAGUUAUCCUCUGGGAGGGGGCAUUGCGCAGCCCAUGCCGGUUCCCAUGGCAGGGAACAUGACCUGGGCUGGGAACUGUGGAAAGAAGCUGGAAACAGAACCAGCUGUUCUUAGAAAUAAGUACUUCUUAUUCUGGGUGAAGGGCCAUUGCUGAAACAGUGCUGACAGGAGGAACAAACCAACAGGAAGGAGCAAGUCCCCUUCUCCUCUUCUGUCUUCCAUCCUUUGUUUAUGACCCUGCUGAGAAACCUAACAGAAAGCCAACAGGCACAGAAGAAAUGUAGUUUGUAGAAUCCCAGUCUCUGUAUCACAAAGCAGAACAUAGACGGUGCAUUUGGGGCUGAGAAACACAGGAGCUUAUAAGUGAUGUGGGGUGACUGGCAUCACUGGGUGAGGUAAGAGUCUGGGGCUGGAGUUAGAUAGGCUUUUUAAUACUUGGUCCCGCUGGAAUACAUGGCCCAUUGUCUGCAUUGUGCCUUGUCUUAUGGGGAGGAUGGGUCCCUGUCUCCCUUCCUCCUAGACAAGGUGGCAUUAACAAGGCA